GCCGGGGUGGCGGAAUUGGUAGACGCACAGGACUUAAAAUCCUGCGAGGGUUUCCUCGUGCCGGUUCAAGUCCUACUCGGUACCA
rnacentral:tRNA from 1 species